GAGUCCUUGAAGGAUAAGAAAUCAAAAAUUUUUGUUGGAAAUCUCCCCUUCGAUGUCACUGAGGUGGAGAUCGCAGUCUUGUUUCGGGAUUUCAACCUGAAGACGGUCAAGGUUCGGCAGAACUCUAUGAGAAGUUUCGCCUUUGUCGAAUUGGCUUCCCCGGAGUUGGCUCUGUCUGCCAUACAGAAGCUCAACGGGAUCAUGG